AUGAACGCUGGCGGCGUGCCUAAUACAUGCCAGUCGAGCGAACGGACGAGAAGCUUGCUUCUCUGAUGUUAGCGGCGGACGGGUGAGUAACACGUGGAUAACCUACCUAUAAGACUGGGAUAACUUCGGGAAACCGGAGCUAAUACCGGAUGAUAUUUUGAACCGCAUGGUUCAAAAGUGAAAGACGGUCUUGCUGUCACUUAUAGAUGGAUCCGCGCUGCAUUAGCUAGUUGGUAAGGUAGCGGCUUACCAAGGCAACGAUGCAUAGCCGACCUGAGAGGGUGAACGGCCACCCUGGAACUGAGAACCGGGCCCGAAUCCUACGGGAGGGAGCAGUAGGGAAUCUUCCGCAAUGGGCGAAAGCCCGACGGAGCAACGCCGCGUGAGUGAUGAAGGUCUUCGGAUCGUAAAAAUCUGUUAUUAGGGAAGAAAAUAUGUGUAAGUAACUGUGCACAUCUUGAAGGUACCUAAUCAGAAAGCCACGGCUAACUACGUG
rnacentral:rRNA from 1 species